GACGUAGGGCGCGAGCGUUGUCCGGAUUUAUUGGGCGUAAAGAGCUCGUAGGCGGUGUGUCGCGUCGGCCGUGAAAACCUGCAGCUUAACUGUGGGCUUGCGGUCGAUACGGGCAUCACUGGAGUUCGGCAGGGGAGACUGGAAUUCCUGGUGUAGCGGUGAAAUGCGCAGAUAUCUGGAGGAAUACCGGUGGCGAAGGCGGCAUCCUGGACCGACAUUGACGCUGAGGAGCGAAAGCUAGGGGAGCAAACGGG
rnacentral:rRNA from 1 species